AAGUCCCGCAACGAGCGCAACCCUUGUCUUUAGUUACCAUCAUUCAGUUGGGGACUCUAGAGAGACUGCCGGUGAUAAACCGGAGGAAGGUGGGGAUGACGUCAAAUCAUCAUGCCCCUUAUGGCCUGGGCUACAAACGUAAUACAAUGGCGUAUACAAAGGGAUGCGAAAGGGCGACCUGGAGCAAAACUCACAAAGUACGUCUCAGUUCAGAUUGGAGUCUGCAACUCGACUCCAUGAAGGCGGAAUCGCUAGUAAUCGCGGAUCAGCAUGCCGCGGUGAAUACGUUCUCGGGGUUU
rnacentral:rRNA from 1 species